rnacentral:tRNA from 1 species
CCGACCUUAGCUCAGUUGGUAGAGCGGAGGACUGUAGUGAGUUAUAUCUGUCAGAUAUCCUUAGGUCCUGGUUCGAAUCCGGCAGGUCGGA